CGCUGACUCCGGGGUGUGAAGCCGACCGGUCUGACUUUUCAUCACUGCCAAACCCACGCGAACCACAGCCAUGUCUGGGGACGAGAUGAUUUUUGAUCCUACUAUGAGCAAAAAGAAAGAAAAAGAAGAAGAAGCCUUUUAUGUUAGAUGAAGAAAGUGAUGCCCAGACAGAAGAAACCCAGCCCUCAGAGACAAAAGAAGUGGAGCCAGAACCAACUGAAGAGAAAGAUGUGGAAGCUGAAGAGGACGGUGGGAAAAAAGGUGCUUCUGAUGACUUAGACGACUUGAGCUUCUUCAAUCAAAAGAGAAAGACAAAAAAGAUAUUUGAUAUUGAUGAAGCUGAAGAAGCUAUAAAGGAUGUUAAGAUUGAAAGUGAUGCUCAAGAGCCGGCCGAGCUGGAGGACGACCUUGACAUUAUGCUUGGCAGUAAGAAGAAGAAAAAGAAGAAUGUGAAAUUCCCAGAUGAAGACGAAGUACUAGAAAAAGAUGAAGCUUUAGAAGAUGAAGACAGCAAAAAAGAUGAUGGCAUUUCAUUCAGUAACCAAACUGGGCCUGCUUGGGCAGGCUCAGAAAGAGACCACAUAUGAGGAGUUGCUGAACCGAGUGUUCAACAUCAUGAGAGAAAAGAAUCCAGAUGUGG
rnacentral:lncRNA from 1 species